rnacentral:rRNA from 1 species
CAGAGACUGCGAGCGUUAUUCGGAUUCACUGGGCGUAAAGGGUGCGCAGGCGGCCAAGUGUGUGAGGCGUGAAAGCCCGGGGCUUAACCCCGGAAUUGCACCUCAAACUACAUGGCUAGAGCAUUGGAGAGGGUAGCAGAAUUCAUGGUGUAGCAGUGAAAUGCGUAGAUAUCAUGAGGAAUACCAGAGGCGAAGGCGGCUACCUGGACAAUUGCUGACGCUCAGGCACGAAAGCGUGGGGAGCAAAAGGGAUUAGAUACCCCUGUAGUCCACGCCCUAAACGGUGCACACUAGGUCUUGGCGGAUUCGACCCCGCCAGGGCCCCAGCUAACGCGUUAAGUGUGCCGCCUGAGGACUACGGCCGCAAGGCUA